rnacentral:SRP_RNA from 1 species
GCACGGGCGUGGUGGCGUGCGCCUGUAAUCUAGCUACUUGGAGGCCAGGGUGCGGGAUUUCGUGGGACCGGGAGUUUGGCAUAUGGGUGCUCAUGUUGAUCGGGCGUCCACGUUAAGCACGGAUGACCUGUCGGAGGUUGGGUUGUCCAGGUCAUCUAAAGAGGGGCGAACCAGCCCAGGGGGGAAACCCGGCAGGCAAAAGUCCCCGCGUGGUGCUGUAGCAUAAAAGCCCUGGUAUGGCCGAGAGUUGAAAGAUUCUACGCUCCCUCUCGAAAUCCGCCCGCAU